UACGUAGGGUGCGAGCGUUGUCCGGAAUUAUUGGGCAUAAAGAGCUCGUAGGCGACUUGUCGCGUCGGAUGUGAAAGCCCGGGGCUUAACUCCGGGUCUGCAUUCGAUACGGGCAGGCUAGAGUUCGGUAGGGGAGAUCGGAAUUCCUGGUGUAGCGGUGAAAUGCGCAGAUAUCAGGAGGAACACCGGUGGCGAAGGCGGAUCUCUGGGCCGAUACUGACGCUGAGGAGCGAAAGCGUGGGGAGCGAACAGG
rnacentral:rRNA from 1 species